rnacentral:rRNA from 1 species
CCUACGGGUGGCAGCAGUGGGGAAUAUUGGACAAUGGGGGAAACCCUGAUCCAGUGACGCCGCGUGAGUGAAGAAGUAUUUCGGUACGUAAAGCUCUAUCAGCAGGAAAGAAAAUGACGGUACCUGACUAAGAAGCCCCGGCUAACUACGUGCCAGCAGCCGCGGGAAAAAGUAGGGGGCAAGCGUUAUCCGGAUUUACUGGGGGUAAAGGGGGCGUAGACGGCAGCGCAAGUCUGGAGUGAAAUGCCGGGGGCCAACCCCGGAACUGCUUUGGAAACUGUGAAGCUGGAGUGCAGGAGAGGUAAGCGGAAUUCCUGGUGUAGCGGUGAAAUGCGUAGAUAUCAGGAGGAACACCGGCGGCGAAGGCGGCUUACUGGACUGUAACUGACGUUGAGGCUCGAAGGCGUGGGGAGCAAACAGGAUUAGAUACCCUAGUAGUC